UACGUAGGGUGCAAGCGUUAAUCGGAAUUACUGGGCGUAAAGCGUGCGCAGGCGGUUGUGCAAGACAGAUGUGAAAUCCCCGGGCUUAACCUGGGAACUGCAUUUGUGACUGCACGGCUAGAGUGUGUCAGAGGGGGGGUAGAAUUCCACGUGUAGCAGUGAAAUGCGUAGAUAUGUGGAGGAAUACCGAUGGCGAAGGCAGCCCCCUGGGAUAACACUGACGCUCAUGCACGAAAGCGUGGGGAGCAAACAGG
rnacentral:rRNA from 1 species